GUGCCAGCAGCCGCGGUAAAACGUAGGAUCCGAGCGUUAUCCGAAUUCACUGGGCGUAAAGCGCGUGCAGGCGGUUCGGUAAGUUGGAUGUAAAAUCUCCCGGCUCAACUGGGAGAGGACGUUCAAUACUGUCGGACUAGAGGACGGUAGAGGGAGGUGGAAUUCCCGGUGUAGUGGUGAAAUGCGUAGAUAUCGGGAGGAACACCAGAGGCGAAGGCGGCCUCCUGGACCGUACCUGACGCUCAGACGCGAAAGCUAGGGGAGCGAACGGGAUUAGAAACCCGCGUAGUCC
rnacentral:rRNA from 1 species